GUUAAGAUGACAGAGUUGGUAAUUGUAUAAAGCUUAAGUCUUUAAUCCCAGAGGUU
rnacentral:tRNA from 1 species